rnacentral:rRNA from 1 species
GACCUGCGGAAGGAUCAUUAAAGAAAUAAUCUCGAGGGCCGAUGGAAAGGAGAGAGGGUUGUAGCUGGCGUAAGCACGUGCACGCCCUCUUUCUCGACCUAGGUCCUUAUGGGCGCGGGGCGACCCGCGUCUUCAUAAGCCCCUUCGUGUAGAAAGUCUAGGAAUGUUUUUAUCAUCAUCGACUCGCGACUUCUAGGAGACGCGAUUCUUUGAGACAAAAGUUAUUACAACUUUCAGCAAUGGAUCUCUUGGCUCUCGCAUCGAUGAAGAACGCAGCGAAUCGCGAUAUGUAAUGUGAAUUGCAGAUCUACAGUGAAUCAUCGAAUCUUUGAACGCACCUUGCGCUUAUCGGUGUUCCGAUGAGCAUGCCUGUUUGAGCGUCAUUAAAUUCUCAACCCCUCUCGAUUUGCUUCGAGAGGGUGCUUGGAUAGUGGAGGCUGCCGGAGACCUGUUUUUUCAGGACUCGGGCUCCUCUGAAAUGCAUUGGCUUGCGGUCGACUUUCGACUGUGCAUGACAAGGCCUUUGGCGUGAUAAUGAUCGCCGCUCGCCGAAGUGCACGAACGAAUGGUCUCGUGCCCCUAAUCAGUCGAUGUCUUUUCGAAGGCGUCUUCCUUAUUGACGUUGACCUCA